GAAAUUUUAGUAAAACAAUUACAUAACUCUGUCAAAGUUAAAUUACAGGUUCAAAUCUUGUAAAUUUCU
rnacentral:tRNA from 1 species